rnacentral:rRNA from 1 species
UGGGAACGCGAAGAACCUUACCAGGUCUUGACAUCCUUUGACAAUCCUAGAGAUAGGACUUUCCCUUCGGGGACAAAGUGACAGGUGGUGCAUGGUUGUCGUCAGCUCGUGUCGUGAGAUGUUGGGUUAAGUCCCGCAACGAGCGCAACCCCUAUUGUUAGUUGCCAGCAUUCAGUUGGGCACUCUAAUGAGACUGCCGGUGACAAACCGGAGGAAGGUGGGGAUGACGUCAAAUCAUCAUGCCCCUUAUGACCUGGGCUACACACGUGCUACAAUGGAUGGUACAACGAGCAGCAAGAUCGCGAGGUCAAGCGAAUCUCUUAAAGCCAUUCUCAGUUCGGAUUGCAGGCUGCAACUCGCCUGCAUGAAGCCGGAAUCGCUAGUAAUCGCGGAUCAGCACGCCGCGGUGAAUACGUUCCCGGGUCUUGUACACACCG